UCUAUAAGUAAAGUAUCCACACAUAAUUAAAAAAACAAGUAAUAAGUAUGUAAAAGAAGUCUUAAUAAUUUACAUAAUCAUCAUUUUUAUUCUCUUCUUCUUGAGGGUCUUUUUGAGGGUGUUGUUCUUAUUGUUGGGAUUGUGACUGAACUAGGGUGGGCUAGACUAGAGUGGGUUGCUAUUGGGAUGGUAUUGGGAUGGACUAAGGUUAUUUAAGACAGAUCUAGGCAUCUGGAGGUAAGAUUUCAUGAGCAAAUUUUGCAAGGAUUCUAACCAGUGACUCAAAUUUUCAUAGGCCUAAUCAUGAUAAAAUCUCUCCAGCAGAAAUGUUCACAUAAGACAAAAACCAAAAGAGAUAGUGAAUUGGAUUCUUGAAUAAAAAUUGUGCCGUUUAAAAUGUUUCCCUUUCC
rnacentral:lncRNA from 1 species